ACGAAACAUCACACAGAGAAAGAGUUCAUUGGCAAAUUGAAGAUGAAUUCUAUAUAUAAAUAUUGAUAAUGGUUGGUACUUUUGAUUAAUAAGUAAUUUGCUUUUUCGUGUUAUGGAGACAGAUGCACCAGACAUCCACGUUCACCUAUUGUAUAAUUUAAUUUAUUUAAUCAAUUACUAAUAUGAAUAAAAUCCUGCUACCG
rnacentral:lncRNA from 1 species